UACGAAGGGGGCUAGCGUUGCUCGGAUUGACUGGGCGUAAAGGGCGCGUAGGCGGUUCGUACAGUCAGACGUGAAAUUCCUGGGCUCAACCUGGGGGCUGCGUUUGAUACGUGCGGACUUGAGUGCGGAAGAGGGUCGUGGAAUUCCCAGUGUAGAGGUGAAAAUUCGUAGAUAUUGGGAAGAACACCGGUGGCGAAGGCGGCGACCUGGUCCGAUACUGACGCUGAGGCGCGAAAGCGUGGG
rnacentral:rRNA from 1 species